UCAAUUGGUUCUUACAUUAGCUUUCACUUGACUUUCAAAUACAAUCCGAUUUGACAUGAUUAUUACAACCGGAUUCUUUCAUUCUUUACAUCCCUAACUAAGGCUGACUCAGGAUACCACUAUCUCUGGUCUCGGUGGUAGGGCGCUAACUAUGGAGUUACGCCCUCGCCUCGCGCCGCCGCGCCGCUCACGUGCAAACCUGUAAACACCCCAAAACCACGUGGGGUGAGAACCAACUUCAUGGUUCCCAGUGGGUACAGCCACCCAAGGGAAAUGCUCGACCAACAGGUUCAAAGGAGGCAACUGCAGGUUAGUUUAAUAAACAGAUAGAUAUAUAGUAUAGAUUAAUAUUAUACUAUUAUAUAUUAUCUUAUGUAAUCAUAAAAGUCAAUCACCUUUACAGAGGCUAAACCACUCCGAAUCGCUUUGAUCAAUCGUGUUCGCGGAUACCGCACUACGAACCAGGCGCGAGGCGUAUGGAACUCUCACAUAACACCUCAAGCCCUAAAUCCCGUCGACGGGAUACCAAAUCCAUAAAUCAUGCAAUGUAAGCUGUUUGUACAGUCAUUUGCUAUGAGCCAAACGUUACGGUUAACCAUGUUGUCAACGCCCGGAACCCCAGCCUAAAGCCCGCCCUGCGCGUGCCUAGACCCGCCAUACACUGUUCACAACAUAAAGGUGUACGCCCCGAGCUCCGCCAAUUUGCAGAUGUCGGCACGCCGAUACGCCGAAUGGACCAGGAGCUUCCUGUACGGUCCUAGCGCAUAACCAUAUGAGCAAACAGAAGAGGUCCCCAACCAGGAAACAGCAUUCAAGCAUAGGAUGUAUAAAAAGUUUUUUUUUUAAAACAUAUAAACGCACAAAUGCAUGACAAGCAUUUACCCGAUGAAUUUUUUACAUUUACAAAUUACAUAGAGCCUUUAAAUAUUACAACUUAUAGCAAAAUUUGAAUACAUUUGUUUCUCUCAGGAUUACACGCUGAAUCUGAUCUAGACCACUUCAGGACUGUACUCGGUCUCGGUGGUAGGCGCUAUCUACGAAGCUACCCCUGUUCCCCUGGCGCCGCGCGCCACCUGCUAACCCUUGUAACCCCAAAAACAACACGGGGUAGAACUAUAUAAAUAUAGGUUCCAGUGGGUAAUGCCACACCAAUGAAGAGCCGACCCACCAGGUUCCCAAAAAGAGGCAACUGCAGGAUGUAGUACUGAACAAUAGAUAGAAUUCGAUGAUAACAAUUAAUAAAACCAUACCUUGCCUCCGCGAUAUGGCAAAUGUAAAUCAUGCAACUAUGUAACAAGUAGAUCGUACUUGAAGCAACUUUAUUCUUUAACCAUCCUUUACUUACCGACUUUAUUAGCUAUUUAACGUUUUCAUCGUUAGGCUAUUCUUCCUAUUCAUUCCUUAAUUUCCUAUCCCUGGUUUGCUCACCCUGGUGAUCUUUCCCUAGGUUACUAUUUACCCCCUUAUCAUUUAGCCACCCGACUCGGUCUUUGAAGAUCAAUCCAAUCGCGUUGAGUGCCGCACUUGUCUAGCUCGAGUAAGAAACCUCAACAUCACCUCAGCGGCAACAGCCAGUCAACCGUAAUCGUCUGUUCCUAGCCGUCCUGGUGGCGAACAAUAGACUCAACCCAACCAAACGCCUAGUAAAUGACUUAGCCACCGGCGGCGAAAUCGCGCACAACGCCACGACAGUGGUUUUCAGUUCACAGGCCGGUAGAUCCACAAACCCCCCCUGGCUAAACCAUCCGCGGCGAAAUCGUCGCACAACGCCAACGAACAAUGGUUCUUUAGCCUGGGCGGUCCGAAAUUCGCACACCACCCGACACCCUGUUGGGUUUAUUCCCCCCCCAACAACUUUGAGAUUCCGGAAUUCCAUUUCACAUUUACUCAAGGGUUAGUCUUACACCCUAUGGAGACGACCUUCUAAGUCCAUCUUAACCGACCUUGAGAUUUAACACUUUAGGUUUCGAUUCCUUAGUAUUCUUAGCCUAGUUUACUAUCCCCUAGGACCAUCAUUCUUUCCAACCUUUCUUACUACCAGGAUCCCUAUACUUUUCAUUUCACAACCUAUGUUCUUUACAUUAGGUUUAACAUCAUUCUUAUUUAACCUAUGUUUAAUAACACUAGGUUCAUUUCAUAUUCAACCUAUGUUUAGUAACACUAGGUUCAUGCCACUCGAUCUAUUCAUCUCACUUAUCUUGUUACCAUCGAGGUUUAUAAACAGCUAGAAUUAUCGACAUUCAUAUAGCUUGAACUAUAGUACAAUAUGUUUAGACAUAGGCAACAUCAAUUAUGUAUGCUUUAGCAUCUACGUUCACAUUUCAUAUUCAGUUUACAUGCCCUUGGCAUUUACAGGUUCAACAUUUAUAUAUCAUGUAUUUGAACAUAUGAAGUUAGCAUAACUAUGCAUCUAGCUUCCACGUUCAUAUAUCGACAAUUAUAUGUAUCUAGCAUGAUCUACAACAGAUUCAUAUGCCUCUAGCAUGUUCAUCAUCUAAUUACCAUUAUAUAUCAUCUAGCAUUAACCAUAAUGCAUUCAUAUGUCCGUAAUCAUAUAUGCCUAUUCAUAUACAUAUAUAUUAGCAUUAUGUUCAUACGUCGACAAUCAUCGUCAAAUGCGUCAAAUGAAACCAUAUUUUACUUUGGCAUGGAAGUGACCUAAUCACUUCGGUAAAGCACAACCCACCUUUAGUUGAUACCUGGACGCGAGAAAUUCACUUCCCGCACUUUCCCGAGAUUCGCGACCCGCGCCCGUGCCAAUUGUAGCCGAAAAUGCUCUUUUGGCGAUAUCUUCGUGUAGGCUCGUCGGAUUGCCGAACCGACUUCGCCAACGCGUUUCUUUUACCCCCAAUUUGGUUUGUACGCGGUCAAUUUCACGGUAGGACCUUUAUCCUGCAAAAGUGUAUUAUCGGGGUCAAAAUUAAAUUAUCGAGCAAUUCAACUUUCAUUUCAUUCCAUCUCUCUCACUUUCUCAUUUUUUUUCUUAUCUUUUCUUUCAUUUAUUCUUUUCCUCUCUUUCUUUUCUUUCUUUUCUUGCUGCCCCUGCAGCUCAGCUUGCAGCAGCUGAUUGCUGCUGCUGCUGCCUGCAGCUGCUCAGCCUGCAGCAGCAGCCAAGUGCUGCUGCCUGCAGCUGCUGCUGCUGCUGCUUGGCUCGCAGCAGCAGCAAGGAACUGCUGCUGCUGCUGCUGCUCUUGCUCACAGCAGCAGCAAGAGCUGCUGCUGCUGCUCUAGCCUGCAGCAGCAGCAAGGGUUGCUGCUGCUGCUGGUUGCUCCAGCAGCAGGGAGAGGGGGAGAGGGAGGGAGAUAACAGGGAGAGGGAGAGGAAUAUAGCUUUGACCUCUCUUUUUCUUCUACUUCUUCUUCUUCUUCUCUUCUUCACUUUUCUCUUCUUUUCCCCUUCUCUCUCUCUACGUAUGCAGAAUGGAGAGGGCAGAGGAUAAGGAUGGAGGGAUAGCCUGGCU
rnacentral:lncRNA from 1 species